UGUUCCACUUCAUAGGAAACUGACAAACUUUUUUCCAAAGUGGCUGAAAAAUUUUGACCUCUGAUAAGUAGUCCAUAAGAUUUCUAGUUGCUCUUUAUCUUUGCUAUUACUUGGUACAGUCAGUUUUUAAAUUUAGUAGUUUUACUUGACAUACAGUGGUAUCACAUAAUGGAUUUGAGUUUCCCUAAGGAUUAAUGAUGUUGAGAACUUUUCACAUGUUUAUGUGUAAUUAUUAGGUCUUUGGUGAGAUACCUGUUAAAAUUUUGGCUUUAAAAAAAAAUUGGUUGUAUUUUUUUUUAAGGUUUGUUUUACAUUUUUUCUUUUUCUGUUCUAUAACAUUUAUUGAGAUAUAAUUCACAUACCAUACAAUUCACCCAUUUGAAGUAUAAGAUUGGGCGGUGGUUUUUAAAAUAUUAAAGGUUAUACAACCAUCACUACAGUGAUAGGUCGAAUUGAGCUUCACCCACCCCCAAUUCAUAUGUCUAAGUCAUAACCCUCAGUAUCUCAGAAUGUGACCUUUUUGGAAAUAAGGUCUAAAGUGAAGUAAUGGGGGUGGUUAAUCCAAUAUGACAUAUGUCCUUAUAAGAAGGGGAAUUUUGGACACAAAGAGAUGCAUAAGGAGAAGGUGAUGUGAAGAGCUCAAAGGAGAACAUGGCCAUCUACAAACAAGGACAGGGACCUGGAACAGAUCAUCCCCACAGAAGGAACCGAAUCUGCUAUCACCUUGAUUUUAGUCUCCAGACCUGUGAGACAAGAAAUUUUGUUUUCACCACCAACUAUAUGUCACACUGGCUACCCAGCACCACCACUUCAACGCAGACAGCUGCCAGGUUCUGCCUUGGUUCCUCUUUCAUGCCCUGUGGUUUGAACUUUCUCCAGCCAGUAAGAACUUAAUGAAGAUUUUAUAAAUAAAAGAACAGACCCUAGGGAAAAUGGUGAUACUUGUGUCUCACCCAGGAAACAUCUACAGCAAGCUACUCCUUAGACCUUCCAAUCUUCAGCCAAAGCCUCAGAGAAAGACCCACGACAGCUGUGUGCUAGCGCAUAGCAGGUGACAUCCGCAGUGAGGUCUGGCAGCGGGAGGGAAAGGAGGAGAGAGGAGAGGUCAGCAUCUCAGUAUCCACCCUCCACCUCGCCACCACUUGCUCCACAGAUGCAGGACUCCGAGGCAGCAUCUGAAAGUCAUCCAUUUCCUCCCCGCCUUCCCUCUGAAAUGCUUUUCUUAAAAAAAAUGCCCCACGGAUCUAAAUAAGGUUUUUCUCUGAGUAGAGGGAUUUCAGUCUGGUUCUCUGUGUACUGUAGGUAUAAGACCUAAGUGAAAAAUAUAGAGGAGUUAAGAGUCACACAGGAGGCCUUUUUACUGUCUGUGUGUUUUGCAUUUCCCCCCCUAGCAAUAAAAUAAAUAAAAGAAAACA